GAUGAACGCUGGCGGCGUGCCUAACACAUGCAAGUCGAGCGAGAAAGCCCGCAAGGGUGAGUAAAGCGGCGCACGGGUGAGUAACACGUGGGUAAUCUGCCCUGGAAUCUGGAAUAACCCGCCGAAAGGCGUGCUAAUGCCGGAUAAGACCACGGGAGCCUCGGCUCCUGGGGGAAAAGGUGGCCUCUGUAUACAAGCUAUCGUUCCAGGAUGAGCCCGCGUCCCAUCAGCUCGUUGGCGGGGUAAUGGCCCACCAAGGCUACGACGGGUAGCUGGUCUGAGAGGACGAUCAGCCACACUGGAACUGAGACACGGUCCAGACACCUACGGGAGGCAG
rnacentral:rRNA from 1 species